AAAAAAGUUUAAAGAGUUGACAAGUCUAUGUAACGCUGUCACUGAAGCUGCUUUAAAGUCAAAUAAAAACUUAACCAAAAUGGAUGCUAUCCAACUUAUUGGGAGAGUAGUUAGGCAUUCUUCUGACCGAAUAAAGAAAACAUCGACUAAUAUUUCGAUCAAUGUUGGCUUAAUUAACUGUUGUAUUUUUUUUUCCAUUUUUAAGCAAUUUUCUUUUAUUUAUAAUGCACUACCGAUUAUAUUCUAAAGUA